CAGUAAACGAUGAAUACUCGCUGUUUGCGAUAUACAGUAAGCGGCCAAGCGAAAGCGUUAAGUAUUCCACCUGGGGAGUACGCCGGCAACGGUGAAACUCAAAGGAAUUGACGGGGGCCCGCACAAGCGGAGGAACAUGUGGUUUAAUUCGAUGAUACGCGAGGAACCUUACCCGGGCUUAAAUUGCAGAUGAAUUACGGUGAAAGCCGUAAGCCGCAAGGCAUCUGUGAAGGUGCUGCAUGGUUGUCGUCAGCUCGUGCCGUGAGGUGUCGGCUUAAGUGCCAUAACGAGCGCAACCCUUAUCUUUAGUUACUAACAGGUCAUGCUGAGGACUCUAGAGAGACUGCCGUCGUAAGAUGUGAGGAAGGUGGGGAUGACGUCAAAUCAGCACGGCCCUUACGUCCGGGGCUACACACGUGUUACAAUGGGGGGUACAGAAGGCAGCUACCUGGUGACAGGAUGCUAAUCCCAAAAACCUCUCUCAGUUCGGAUCGAAGUCUGCAACCCGACUUCGUGAAGCUGGAUUCGCUAGUAAUCGCGCAUCAGCCAUGGCGCGGUGAAUACGUUCCCGGGCCUUGUACACACCGCCCGUCAAGCCAUGAAAGCCGGGGGUACCUGAAGUACGUAACCGCAAGGAGCGUCCUAGGGUAAAACUGGUAAUUGGGGCUAAGUCGUAACAAGGUAGCCGUACCGGAAGGUGCGGCUG
rnacentral:rRNA from 1 species